rnacentral:rRNA from 1 species
UACGUAGGGGGCAAGCGUUGUCCGGAAUCAUUGGGCGUAAAGAGCGUGUAGGCGGCCCGAUAAGUCCGCUGUGAAAGUCCAGGGCUCAACCCUGGAAUGCCGGUGGAUACUGUCGGGCUCGAAUCCGGAAGAGGUGAGUGGAAUUCCUGGUGUAGCGGUGGAAUGCGCAGAUAUCAGGAGGAACACCAAUAGCGAAGGCAGCUCGCUGGGACGGUACUGACGCUAAGGCGCGAAAGCGUGGGGAGCGAACAGG